rnacentral:rRNA from 1 species
AUGAUUUUUUAAUGGCUGCGGUAAUUUGACCGUACAAAGGUAGCAUAAUAAUUAGUCUUUUAAUUGGAGUCUGGAAUGAAUGAUUGGAUGAGAAAUUUACUUUCUUUAAUUAUUUAUUUUAAUUUAAUUUUUAAGUGAAAAAGCUUAGAUUUUUUUUUGGGACGAUAAGACCCUAUAGAUCUUUAUUGUUUUUGUUGUUUAUAAAUUUUUAGUUUUUUUAAUUUGUUUAUUUUAGUUAUAAUUUGGUUGGGGUGAUUGUGAAAUUUUUAUGUCUUUUGUUUUUGCUUUCAUUUAUUUUUGAUUAAUUAAGAUCUUUUUUUAUUGAUUAUAAGAUAAAGUUACCUUAGGGAUAACAGCGUAAUUUGUUUGUAGAGUUCUUAUCGAUGAAUAAGUUUGCGACCUCGAUGUUGGAUUAAGAUUAGUAAAAGGUGAAGAUUUUUUUUGUUCUAGGUCUGUUCGACCUUUAAAUUCUUACA